CCUGCGGAGGGAUCAUUACUGAGUUUACGCUCUACAACCCUUUGUGAACAUACCUAUAACUGUUGCUUCGGCGGGUAGGGUCUCCGCGACCCUCCCGGCCUCCCGCCUCCGGGCGGGUCGGCGCCCGCCGGAGGAUAACCAAACUCUGAUUUAACGACGUUUCUUCUGAGUGGUACAAGCAAAUAAUCAAAACUUUUAACAACGGAUCUCUUGGUUCUGGCAUCGAUGAAGAACGCAGCGAAAUGCGAUAAGUAAUGUGAAUUGCAGAAUUCAGUGAAUCAUCGAAUCUUUGAACGCACAUUGCGCCCGCCAGCAUUCUGGCGGGCAUGCCUGUUCGAGCGUCAUUUCAACCCUCAAGCUCUGCUUGGUGUUGGGGCCCUACAGCUGAUGUAGGCCCUCAAAGGUAGUGGCGGACCCUCUCGGAGCCUCCUUUGCGUAGUAACUUUACGUCUCGCACUGGGAUCCGGAGGGACUCUUGCCGUAAAACCCCCAAUUCUCCAAAGGUUGACCUCGGAUCAGGUAGGAAUACCCGCUGAACUUAAGCAUAUCAUA
rnacentral:rRNA from 1 species